UACGAAGGGGGCUAGCGUUGCUCGGAUUGACUGGGCGUAAAGGGCGCGUAGGCGGUUCGUACAGUCAGACGUGAAAUUCCUGGGCUCAACCUGGGGGCUGCGUUUGAUACGUGCGGACUUGAGUGCGGAAGAGGGUCGUGGGAAUUCCCAGUGAGAGGUGAAAAUUCGUAGAUAUUGGGAAGAACACCGGUGGCGAAGGCGGCGACCUGGUCCGAUACUGACGCUGAGGCGCGAAAGCGUGGGGAGCAAACAGG
rnacentral:rRNA from 1 species